AAGAAAGUGACAGAGUGGUUGUGUGACUGGCUUGAAAUCAGUUCAUGGGGGUUCGAUUCCUCCCUUUCUCG
rnacentral:tRNA from 2 species